rnacentral:rRNA from 1 species
UACGAAGGGUGCGAGCGUUAAUCGGAAUUACUGGGCGUAAAGCGCGCGCAGGCGGCCUUUCAAGUCAGGGGUGAAAGCCCGGAGCUCAACUCCGGAAUUGCCUUUGAAACUGUCAGGCUCGAGUACGGGAGAGGUGAGUGGAAUUCCCAGUGUAGAGGUGAAAUUCGUAGAUAUUGGGAAGAACACCGGUGGCGAAGGCGGCUCACUGGCCCGUUUCUGACGCUCAGGCGCGACAGCGUGGGGAUCAAACAGG